rnacentral:rRNA from 1 species
UACGGGGGGGCAAGCGUUGUUCGGAAUUACUGGGCGUAAAGGGCUCGUAGGCGGCCAACUAAGUCAGGCGUGAAAUCCCUCGGCUUAACCGGGGAACUGCGUCUGAUACUGGAUGGCUUGAGUUCGGGAGAGGGAUGUGGAAUUCCAGGUGUAGCGGUGAAAUGCGCAGAGAUCGGGAGGAACACCCGUAGCGAAGGCGGCACUCUGGGCCGGAACUGACGCUGAGGAGCGAAAGCGUGGGGAGCGAACAGG